rnacentral:lncRNA from 1 species
GCUCCACAUACUCCAGUGCAGUCACACUACUCCUCUGCAUAAUGCACAGAUGUGGAACAAAUAAUAGGACCCUUUUUUGUUCCCAGGGCUAAAGUCCAUGUUGUCCAAAACAGCAGAAGUCUCAGUUUUGUGAAUAAGAGUCAUUGGACUUCUAUCUACCCACUUGAGGAGUUUCUUAAGAAUCCCUUUAAAAUCAGAAGUUUUGGAGUGUGUCAUUACUGCAUUUGUACCACUGAAGGUGAGGAAGAAGGAGUCAUUAUGGAUCUUACUGAACCUGAGUGAAUGUGGUGUAGUUUUAGCACUGGAAAAUAAAAAAAUAAGAAGAAGAAGAAGAAGAAAAAGAAGAAGAAGAAUUCAAUUGCUGUUGCCAGAAAUUCAGAAGUAUGCAACUGUUACCAGUGAAGUAACUGAAUGGGCCACAUGAUACACCAUUUUGACUGGAAUGAAACUCUGAUCACUUUGCAGUAAUAAGGAAGUAAAUUUCUUCAUCUCUCUUUCUCCUGAAGACAUUUUGGUAGAAAGAAGGUCACAUAAUUCCUUGUAUUUUGUUAACUGCCAACUCCCAGAUCCACAGGACCAAAGCCAGGCAUCAGUGCAGUCAUUACAAAUGGUUGACACUGACAGAGCAAUGUGUUUCGUUGAUCCAGCAUAGACUUCUUUUGGACAGCGUUUUAUCAUUACUUUAUUUAUUUAUUUAUUUAUUUAUUUAUUUAUUUAUUUAUUUAUUUAUUUAUUUAUUUUGUGCCGCAGUCCUUGGGCAAAAGGAUUAACGAGCCACA